rnacentral:rRNA from 1 species
UAGGGAAUCUUCGGCAAUGGACGAAAGUCUGACCGAGCAACGCCGCGUGAGUGAAGAAGGUUUUCGGAUCGUAAAACUCUGUUGUUAGAGAAGAACAAGGACGUUAGUAACUGAACGUCCCCUGUCGGUAUCUAACCAGAAAGCCACGGCUAACUACGUGCCAGCAGCCGCGGUAAUACGUAGGUGGCAAGCGUUGUCCGGAUUUAUUGGGCGUAAAGCGAGCGCAGGCGGUUUCUUAAGUCUGAUGUGAAAGCCCCCGGCUCAACCGGGGAGGGUCAUUGGAAACUGGGAGACUUGAGUGCAGAAGAGGAGAGUGGAAUUGCGUGUGUAGCGGUGAAAUGGGUAGAUGUAUGGAGGAACACCAGUGGCGAAGGCGGCUCUCUGGUCGGUGACUGACGCUGAGGCUCGAAAGCGUGGGGAGCAAACAGG